GCCAAGAAUCUUCCGCAAUGGGGGAAACCCUGACGGAGCAACGCCGCGUGAGUGAAGAAGGUCUUCGAUCGUAAAGCUCUGUUGUACGGGACGAAUGUUGAAGGCGUGAAUAAUGCCAUCAAAUGACGGUACUGUACGAGGAAGCCACGGCUAACUACGUGCCAGCAGCCGCGGUAAUACGGAGGGGGCGAGCGUUGUCCGGAAUAAUUGGGCGUAAAGGGAGCGCAGGUGGGAAGGUAAGUCUGUUUUAAAAGCGUCGGGCUCAACCCGAUGAGGGAACAGAAACUAUUUUUCUUGAGUGCAGGAGAGGAAAGUGGAAUUCCUAGUGUAGCGGUGAAAUGCGUAGAUAUUAGGAGGAACACCAGUGGCGAAGGCGACUUUCUGGACUGUACCUGACGCUGAGGCGCGAAAGCGUGGGGAGCGAACAGGAUUAGAUACCCCAGUAGUCC
rnacentral:rRNA from 1 species